AGAGCGAACGCUGGCGGCAGGCUUAACACAUGCAAGUCGAGCGGGCGUAGCAAUACGUCAGCGGCAGACGGGUGAGUAACGCGUGGGAACAUACCUUUUGGUUCGGAACAACACAGGGAAACUUGUGCUAAUACCGGAUAAGCCCUUACGGGGAAAGAUUUAUCGCCGAAAGAUUGGCCCGCGUCUGAUUAGCUAGUUGGUGAGGUAACGGCUCACCAAGGCGACGAUCAGUAGCUGGUCUGAGAGGAUGAUCAGCCACAUUGGGACUGAGACACGGCCCAAACUCCUACGGGAGGCAGCAGUGGGGAAUAUUGGACAAUGGGCGCAAGCCUGAUCCAGCCAUGCCGCGUGAGUGAUGAAGGCCCUAGGGUUGUAAAGCUUCUUUUGUGCGGGAAGAUAAUGACGGUACCGCAAGAAUAAGCCCCGGCUAACUUCGCGCCAGCAGCCGC
rnacentral:rRNA from 1 species